rnacentral:rRNA from 1 species
UACGGAGGGUGCGAGCGUUGUCCGGAAUCAUUGGGCGUAAAGGGCGCGUAGGUGGCUUCUUAAGCGUGCGGUGAAAGCCUGGGGCUCAACCCCGGGUCGGCCGUGCGAACUGGGGGGCUGGAGCACUGUAGAGGCAGGCGGAAUUCCGGGUGUAGCGGUGGAAUGCGUAGAGAUCCGGAAGAACACCAGUGGCGAAGGCGGCCCGCUGGGCAGUGGCUGACGCUGAGGCGCGACAGCGUGGGGAGCAAACAGG